rnacentral:rRNA from 1 species
UACGUAGGUCCCGAGCGUUGUCCGGAUUUAUUGGGCGUAAAGCGAGCGCAGGUGGUCUAUUAAGUCUGGUGUAAAAGGCAGUGGCUCAACCAUUGUAUGCAUUGGAAACUGGUAGACUUGAGUGCAGGAGAGGAGAAUGGAAUUCCUAGUGUAGCGGUGAAAUGCGUAGAGAUUAGGAAGAACACCAGUGGCGAAGGCGAUUCUCUGGACUGUAACUGACGCUGAGGCUCGAAAGCGUGGGGAGCAAACAGG